UACGUAGGGUGCGAGCGUUAAUCGGAAUUACUGGGCGUAAAGCGUGCGUAGGCGGUUCGUUAAGUUCGUUGUGAAAGCCCCGGGCUCAACCUGGGAAUGGCAAUGGAAACUGGCGGGCUUGAGUGUGGCAGAGGGGGGUGGAAUUCCGCGUGUAGCAGUGAAAUGCGUAGAGAUGCGGAGGAACACCGAUGGCGAAGGCAGCCCCCUGGGCUAACACUGACGCUCAGGCACGAAAGCGUGGGGAGCAAACAGG
rnacentral:rRNA from 1 species